CCUACGGGGGGCAGCAGUGGGGGAUAUUGCACAAUGGAGGAAACUCUGAUGCAGCAAUGCCGCGUGAGGGAAGACGGUCUUCGGAUUGUAAACCUCUGUCCUUGGUGAAGAUAAUGACGGUAGCCAAGGAGGAAGCUCCGGCUAACUACGUGCCAGCAGCCGCGGUAAUACGUAGGGAGCAAGCGUUGUCCGGAUUUACUGGGUGUAAAGGGUGCGUAGGCGGCUUUUUAAGUCGGGCGUGAAAGCUGUGGGCUUAACCCACAAAUUGCGUUCGAAACUGGAAGGCUUGAGUGAAGUAGAGGUAGGCGGAAUUCCCGGUGUAGCGGUGAAAUGCGUAGAGAUCGGGAGGAACACCAGUGGCGAAGGCGGCCUACUGGGCUUUAACUGACGCUGAGGCACGAAAGCAUGGGUAGCAAACAGGAUUAGAUACCCGUGUAGUC
rnacentral:rRNA from 1 species